rnacentral:lncRNA from 1 species
CGGAGAAAACAGCAUCUGUGGACACACCUGUGUGAGAGCCGCAAAGAAACGGGCUGAAUCCCUAAAAUACUGAGCAAGAGAAGGUACUUUAACUAAAAUCCAGUGUCCACACUGAAGAUCAGGAGCUUACUCCAGACACAGACAGUCCAGUGAAGCUCCCCUGAAGUUGGCAGUUUUGACCACCUGGAAUCAAGUAAACAAAUUGCUCAUGGAGUGCCACUGGUCUCCACGCUAAU